rnacentral:rRNA from 1 species
UACAGAGGGGGCGAGCGUUGUUCGGAGUUACUGGGCGUAAAGGGCGCGUAGGCGGCCUUCUAAGUCGAACGUGAAAUCCCCGGGCUCAACCCGGGAACUGCGUCCGAUACUGGGAGGCUUGAAUCCGGGAGAGGGAUGUGGAAUUCCAGGUGUAGCGGUGAAAUGCGUAGAUAUCUGGAGGAACACCGGUGGCGAAGGCGGCACCCUGGACCGGUAUUGACGCUGAGGCGCGAAAGCCAGGGGAGCAAACGGG